AAUCAAUCCUGAGGCUGCACUGACCGUUGGGGCACCUUUGAUGCAGCAAGAACUUUCCUCCAUUCUUUCUGGUCUUUUGCAGUCCUUGUACAAUCAGUUAGUUUUAAUCUGUGAAGGGAGAAUUGCCAGGAAUGGCGGCGGCCCCAGGCAUCACAAUCACCCCAUAGUUACCUCAGGUGAGAGAAGGAGAACAGCUGGAGCCCGGAGCACCCCACCAUAUUUCUGCAUCGAGUGCUCCUUCCAGAUUGGCAGCGAGGGAGCCUGGAGCAGUACUUCUGGCCCUGAACAGAGGCAGCCAGAGAGACACCGCAGUAUCCAAGGAGAGAAGACACCAGAGGACUCUCCUAUCUGUGCCAGUCCUCACCAAGCUACAGCAAUGCGAAGCAUGACACUAGGCAUGAGUGGUCAGAAGACUACCAAUGAACACAGGGAUGACAGACAGAACGCCAAGGUGGCUCACUUAAAGAAGGAUUGAAACCCCAGGCUGAAGAACCUGUCCAUGGGCCUACUCAGAGAACCUGAUCUUGCAAAGACUCACACAAGUGCUUCACUUUACGCAUUGGGUAUGUCUCAACUGUCUUGGUGCUCCAUUCCAGCUCUAUAUUCCUAAUCUCUGACCAAGAGCUUUCAUUGUUACCAGUAUUCCUUCACCAGACUGAGCAAUAAUGAUGUUAGAGGAUUAGGUCCUGGAUGAUCUGGCACAGGAAUCGGGUCUCUGAGGGAAGGUUGAGGGUCCAGUGGCUAAAUACCAGAUCCAGAGGGAGUAACUGGAGCAUGACCUAUGACAGAGGCUGGGGUCAGAAUCCAGAAACCAACUUCCCAUGGCUGAGGAGCAAUCCAUAGGGCAAAAACCGAGCACCAAGUCAACCCAUAGGUUGAGAACCAGGAAACAGAUUUGCAGAGGAAAUCUGAGGCUCGAGUCAGGAGAAAGCCAAAGACAGGAACCAGGAAAAUCAGAAGGAGUGGGAAUCAAGAGGCUUGCUACAGUACACUGGAUCAAAACUGUUGACUGGUCUGGAAAUCCACUGCCCCAGCUGGGACUAUAUGGAUAGGUAGUGCUUCCAGUAGACAAUCAGGACACUCACUGGUCCUAAACUGGGACACAGUUUGUUAGCUAGUGAUUUACUGCAGGUGUGGCUGCUUCGGUACUUGGCCCAGGCUGGCCGCCUGAUCAGGGUCCCUGACAAAUGAUUAUUUCAUAUAGUUAAUACUAUAACAUGGAGCUCCACCAGUUCCUCACUUUCCAGUAGUUAUUUAAAAGGAUCUCACUGGGUCAAACCUUGUCAUGAAUUGUUCAUUCUGAUUUUAAUAAUUUUUUUAAUUUUUACAUUUUGUCUUCCCUGUAAGUAAAUGCCAUCAUUUAUUAAGAAAUGUUUAAUGAUAUAAAAAGAAAGAAAAGAAAAUUAAUUAAAUUGGCUUACAGGCUACAAACUGAUGCUGAAAGGUUAGACAAGCUACUAGGAAUGCAAAGGGGAACAAGGAAAAUAUGUCUAUAUGGUACACGCACAAUGUUCAAAGACCAAGAAAAUGCUGAGCAAAAAUAUUAUCUCAGAUAUCUAGGAAAGGUAUUAUCUUUUCCUUAUUAUUUUGCAAGGAACUACUUGUCAUUGUGGAAGGAUUCUUUACAAAUAUCUCCUUAAAAUGCUUUCAAAAAGGUGAACACUGCAAUUAAAUGUAAGACUAGUGAGUCAAUUUAUAAUAGGCAAUAAGUUCUUUCAGAUCUAUAUUAUUUUGAUUAUUCUGCAGUCCACUUGUUAGGUAGCUGAAAAAUUUAAUUCUUGGUUUUCCUCUUUUACAAGACCCUGAUAGCCCUGACAUCUUACUUCAUACCCUGCAAUGCCUUCUUAAAGCACAAUCUGGCUUAGUUUAUGGAGCUAGACCUAAGACACUAAUAUUCUUCAUGGAAGUAACAACACUUCUAUAUGUUUUUUUCCCCCACAUCUAUAAUCUAAUUCCCUUAUCUGCUUCACUGGGGUGCCACCCAGGACUCCAUUAAUUAAUGCAAAGCUGACACUUAAUUUUGCUGGCAUUCUUAUUUGUUGAUUUGGGGCCUGAUCCAAUGGGAAAAAAAAUACAAUGACUUCAAUCAUUGUUUGUUUGUAACCUUGAGGAGGUGCGUGGGAAAGACAUUACACAUAGAACAUGUGAACUUGUGUUUAGACCACUGAUAUAAUGCAGGGAUGGGUCAGCUUCUCAACUGGAAAUGGAGACAAGUCUCUACCUUACACUGGCAUUGGAAAGCUGAAAACUGCUUGGAGACACUUUUACAAAAGCUAAAUAAAGUAUGCUAAUUGUUAUGUAAGCACAAAAUGCUAUAUGCUUAAAGACAAUCUCUGGAAGAAAUCAAACUAAGGAGAUCGUGGCUCCCAGCCUUGCAUUCAGCUGAUGAUGCUGAGCAUUCUUAAAGGUUAUGAACCCCCAAUUACUUUCCAAUUAACUCAGAAUUUUGUCUAUGCUGAUUUAAGUAAAAAUAGCAUUUUGAUUAAAUAUGUAUGUGUGUGCAUGCGUGCAAGUGUGUGUAUGCGUGCACGCACGUGUGUGUGUAAAACGAUAAAUGAAUAUAUUUUGCCCAGGAAUCAAAAGAUUUUGUCAAAAACUGUCCUGAGUGUGUGUCUGCCACCCUCCUAAAUAUCC